GGCGGAGGAAGCACCAAGAGGGGAGCACGAGCCCUAGAGCUGCACAGCUGUCGGUGGUUGAGCGGUGACUGGCGGCCAGGCUGUUCUGGAACAAGCCUCUCCUGCCUCUCAGAGAAGAAUUCUGAUCCAAGGCUGGCCAGGUGAACUCAAGGAAGUGAAGACUCCUCGCCCCUCCCCCACCACAAACUGGACCUCCUGGAAGACUCAAGGUGUUGUGUGUGGAGAGGCAAAUACCUGUGCUGAGGCGAGGGAACCCGGAACGGGCAUUCAGCAAAUCCAUACAAGACGGGACAGAGCCCAGGCCAGCCAUCCAAGACUUCCCAGAGCCUAGGUGAGAACACUGCAUCUCAGAGAAGUUAUAUGAUCCCUGUGGUCAGAGAACAUCCUUUGUGCAACCCAAAUCCUUCUAAAGGUCCUGAGUGCCUUCAUGGCCCGGGAUGCAGUCUGCCUUGGCUCCCCGCAGCCUCCCGUUUUGCAUCCUGCGUCUAGCCCGGCUGGCCCUCCUUUCUUCCUGCUGGUCCUCCCCGCAGCAGAGAGAUCCUUUCUGCUCUGAUCUCAGGAUUGUUACGGAAGCGGAAGAUGCAGAGGACUCCAAGAGGCAAACAGAAGGGUGAAGUGCAAACACUUGCCACGUGAGGCCAUGCCCACAGUGAAGCCAGCCCUUCUCAUCCUGUUCACAGCAAAGACUUCCAACUAUAACGUGAUGACUAAGAGCAUGGACUUCCAGUGCAGACUGUGUUCAAAUCCUACCCCUGCCGCGUACCAGCUGUGUGAUCUGAGACAAGUUACUUAACCUCUCUGUGCCUCUAUAGUCUCAUCCCUAUGUUAGAAAUGCUGCUGCUUCAUACCUCACGGGGUUAUUGUGAGAGUUAAAUGAGAUGAUAUGAUGUUACCCAUUCUAGAAAUGGCUAAGUCCUUCUUUGUUAAUGGCCUCAAGUGUGCUUUUGACUUUCCUAUCUCUGAUGUCAGGUGCUCCCCUCACCUGCCUGGAAUGAGUGCUCCUUCCUUUUGCCUGGAUCCAAAUCCUCCUUGUUGUUUAAAGUGGAGGAAACUCCGGAAGAGGGCUGGCUGGACUCAGACCCUCACUCCCGCUCUGGUUCCAUAGCUGAGGUACGUAGGAUUCAGUUAUAUGUGUACAUUUUUUCAGAUUAUUUUCCAUUAUAGGCUAUUAUAAGGUAUUGACUAUACUUCCCUGUGCUCUACAGUAAAUCCUUGUUGCAUAUCUGUUUUAUGUAUGGUGACUUCCAUCUCUUACUCCUGUACUCCUAAUUUGUCCCUCCCUCCCC